GAACAGGAAGUUCCGGGAAGGCGCCCACCAUUCUUCAGUAUAAAGAAAUUGCCAGAACGAUGCGGUGUAGAAGAUAAUCUUCGUGUCCGUUUCUAUUUAUUACUACAGAUUAACCAUGAGGCCGGUAACAUCAACAGUAAAGGACAAACCCAGCCUGCCUCUCUCCCUCCACACUGAGUCCAAGCCUACAGUCACUGGGUCCUGAUUGUGACAGUGGAGCCCAGUUUGCACUGCACGAUCCAGAGAUGGCAUCAGUGAAGCUGGAAGACUGUAAUCAAACUCUGGAGCUGAAUGUCAACAUUAAAGAUGAAGAAGAGGAGGAGAAGAUUGGGACAUCUGUUUCUCAUGCAGGAUUAUGCCCCAUGCCACAAGGCUUGUCCAGGAAUGGUUCCAUGGAAACCGUGACAGGGAAUUCAGCUUACUGCAGUGGCCUGCCGAGUCACCAGAUCUCAAUCCAAUUGUGCAUCUGUGGGAGGCUUUGGAACGAGCUAUUCGGAGUAGAUAUCCACUCCCAGCCAACCUGACACAACUGUGGGAAGCAUUGGAGUCAUCGUGGCUCAGCAUCCCUGUGGGAGUCCAUGGCCUGACGAAUUGAGGCUGUUCUGAGGACAAAGGGGAUUGCAACUCAAUAUUAGGAAGGUGUUCCUAAUGUUUUGUAUACUCAGUGCCAAAGAAAAUUAUUCAGACUCCUGGACUUUUUCCACAUUUUGUUACAAAAAAUCCUCAAUCUACACACAAUAGCCCAUAAUGACAAAUUGAAAACAGUUUUUAGAUUUUUUGGGAAAAUAAUAAAUAAGGAUUCAUACUGUUUACUAUGGAGACUCAAUUGUUCUCAGAUGCAUCCUGUUUCCAUUAAGUAUCCUUGUGAUGUUUCAACAACUUGAUUUGGAGUCCACUUUGUAAAUGUAAUUCAAACAGGCACACACCUGCCUAUAUAAGGUCCCACAGUUGACAGUGCAUGUCAGAGCAUAGUGAAGCAUGGUGGUGACAGCAUCAUGCUGUAGGUAUGUUUUUCAA